rnacentral:lncRNA from 1 species
CACACAUUCAGGCCAGCACUCCAUGCAACAUAGUGUAGAGAAUUGAGGUGAUUAUUUGCGUAAAUCAAGUCAGAACUUGAACAGAAUUGCCUCAAUUAUUUGGGGAACUUUUUUUUCCCCUCAAUUUUGCAGAUGUGUCUCACCUUUUGACUUCAUUGUGUUCGAGUAGAUCUUCCCAGAUGUAUUUCAUACCGUUUUGUCUCCUUACAUUUUUAUGACAGAGCUGGAAUAUGCUCUCCUGCCAUCGCCCCUCAAGCUCCCAGCGCUGUUAAGAGUAGAUCUGAGACUCACUGCAAAUGGAUCGAGCUCUCGAGGAGCCAGAACAGGAUCUUUAGAAUACAGACCUUUCACUGUAUUCGUCUUGGCUGAACUCCAAAGGAUGCUAAAAGUGCCCGGCCGCGAUAUUCCGGCUUCCACCAAUACCAGGGAGGUGUGCAAAACAAUCUUCUCCUUAGGAUAUAU